GCUUAAUAGUGCCAUGGGCUCAGUCGUGUCUGACUCUGCAGCCCGUGGUCUAUAAUCCUGCCAGGUCCUUCUGUCUAUGAAAUUCUCCAGGCAAGAAUAUUGGAGUGGAUUGCCAUUUCCUACUCCAAAGGAUCUUCCUGGCCCAGGGGUUGAACCCAAAUCUGUAUUGACAGGCGGAUUCUUUACCACUGGGGCACCUGGGAAGCUCAGCUUGCUUAAUAAUGAACUGCCUCACCAAUCAAGCUGGCUUUAGUUAGUUUUUUUUUUAACCAAACCUUGCCUGUAGAUCAGGCCUCAGCACUGGGCUUUCAGGAACGUGGCAUCAGCUGUAUCCAGUUCAAGCCCCAGCUGGUUAGGACUGGCUGGAGCCCUCAAGACCCUCCAGCUGGAGCUGAGUUGGAAACCCUGCCUUCAGAGCAUGCAGACGCUAGUUUUCUGAGGGACGUCUGAUGGUGAAGCCUGUAGCUUGGUGCCUGCACUAAACCAGGUUACCUCGCCGUUUCCUUCUCCGUAAGCUAGCUCUUCCACGCUCCCCAUGCCUCAGCUUUAUCCCUCUUUCCCAGCAUCAGGGUCUUUUCGAAUGAGUUGGCUCUUCAUGUCAGGCAGCCAAAACAUUGGAGCUUCAGCUUCAGUCCUUCCAGUACAUGGUCAGGGUUGAUUUCCUUUGGGACUGCUUUUAUCUCCUUGCUGUAGGGUAUACCACCUGAAGAGUGUGGGAACCUUCCUGCAGGUCGUGAGUUUUGACUUCCACUGGAGGUGCAGCACCCAACCUAGGAAUUCUAAUCCCAAAGAGGCAAAAAGAGCAAGCAUGAGGGCAUCAGGAACCAGACCACACUGGAGAUGGAGACGGUCCUGGGAGGCAGAAGGGAAGGAGAUGGGGGAGCGGUGGGGGAAUCCUGUUUGAAGAACAACCAACCACCACAACGACCCUUCCCCCCCAAAGAAAAUUAUUGUUGGGAUAGAGUUUAUUUGAUUCUUUGGAGAAAAAGAACAAUCUGGAUCGGAGGAGGCAAAAUUACAGUUUUAUUGAAAAAAAAA
ensembl:lncRNA